rnacentral:rRNA from 1 species
GGAUGGAAUCUUGAUUGACUGAGUGGCGGACGGGUGAGUAACGCGUGGAUAACCUGCCUCACACUGGGGGAUAACAGUUAGAAAUGACUGCUAAUACCGCAUAAGCGCACAGUGCCGCAUGGCAGUGUGUGAAAAACUCCGGUGGUGUGAGAUGGAUCCGCGUCUGAUUAGCCAGUUGGCGGGGUAACGGCCCACCAAAGCGACGAUCAGUAGCCGACCUGAGAGGGUGACCGGCCACAUUGGGACUGAGACACGGCCCAAACUCCUACGGGAGGCAGCAGUGGGGAAUAUUGCACAAUGGGCGAAAGCCUGAUGCAGCGACGCCGCGUGAGUGAAGAAGUAUUUCGGUAUGUAAAGCUCUAUCAGCAGGGAAGAAAAUGACGGUACCUGACUAAGAAGCCCCGGCUAACUACGUGCCAGCAGCCGCGGUAAUACGUAGGGGGCAAGCGUUAUCCGGAUUUACUGGGUGUAAAGGGAGCGUAGACGGCGAAGCAAGUCUGAAGUGAAAACCCAGGGCUCAACCCUGGGACUGCUUUGGAAACUGUUUUGCUAGAGUGUCGGAGAGGUAAGUGGAAUUCCUAGUGUAGCGGUGAAAUGCGUAGAUAUUAGGAGGAACACCAGUGGCCGAAGGCGGCUUACUGGACGAUAACUGACGUUGAGGCUCGAAAGCGUGGGGAGCAAACAGGAUUAGAUACCCUGGUAGUCCACGCCGCAAACGAUGAAUGCUAGGUGUUGGGGGGCA